AUCUGAAGCCCUACCUUCAUCCCCACCUCCUACCCUCAGCUGACUCCAGUUCCAGAGAAACUCCCUGGGUUGGACUUGGAGACCUCCUGGGUCUGACUUCCAACCCUGAGUCUGCUUUUUCCUCUAAUCUAUUCUGGACCCCCUUUGGCAGUGCUGUUAUCCAAAAAGGAGAGUGGAAAAGGAGAGAGCCUGACUGAUGUCUGUCAUCUUCUCUCCUUCCCAUUCAGAUCAUACAGUACUUUAGGGUCCCUGGCAUGUAGAGGAGCCGAAAAACUUGAUAAUGGCUUAACCAUUCAGUUUUAUUGAGGACACAAUUUUCCCAAGGGCUAUAAGCUUUGUUAACUCUUCUGAUAUCUAGGUCUACCAUGUUCUUAUAUUUGUGACCUGUCAAUUCAUUCAUUUAUUCUAAUAGGCACCUGACAUACCUUGCUCCUGAUCUUCCCACUUCCCCUGUAUUUCUCCAGAGCAUUUAGUACAAAUAUGAUGGGUUAACUAUGGUGUAAUUAUUUGUCUACUUUUAUAUAUAAACUAAGAUUGCAAAAACCAACUCAGUCACCAUCAUACCCCAUGCCCAUUGAUUAACAAAUGUUAAUGAACAAACUGAAUGGGAUAUAUUUAUAUAUUUACCCUGUUUUUCAGAUGAAGAAAUAGAAACCCAAAUAAAUAUUUUCCCAAGACUGAUGAUGUAGCUCAGUGGCAGAGUGCUUACCUAGCAUGUGCAAGGUGCUGGAUUCAAUCCCCAGUACCACAAAAAAAUAAACUAAAAUUGCCCAAAUGACUUCCACUAUAAGUAUGAAGCCAAAAAAAUUCACUCUUGUAUUUUGGGGAAUUUUUAAUAGCCACAGAAAUGAAACACAUUGAUAAACUGUGUUCUGAUUGUGCUCCACUUAUUUGCUGGAGGUGGAAUCUGGAUUCAAAAACAGGCUUUUGUGCGCUGGUGAAAAGUACUAGUGAGAGGGUUGGGGAUCAAUCAUUGUUCUGUCCACAGGCAUGCCUUUGGUGAGGAUUUCUGGCUCCCACCCCAACUUGAACAUAGACUGGAUAAAGAAGGUCAUACUUAUGUCAUAUGGCAACCCCAGUCCAAAAGCAGCAAAUAAGACCACUCCCAGUCCUCACUUUUUUUUUUAAUCUGUUUUUAUCUUAAUGUGAACUAGUAUUUUUAAAAAAUCAAGAAGUUUCCCACAAAUCUAAAUUCUUGCUUCUCAAAACUAAGACUAUGGUGAUACCAGGCCCACAUCUCCACGAGAUAGUAAUCUGUCUGAGUAGCACUGCUGCCUUUAUGUGGCAUGUGCUCUUUAUGCUUCUCUGCUUCUUUCUAGGACUCUUCACUCAUUUGCAUAACUGGUACACAUUUAAAUGUAAGACCUCAAGGUUAAUUGAAAUCCCAAAAGUCCUUCCAAUUUUUCCAGGCCUCUAAACCACAUUGAUCUGAUCCUUAAGAGCAUAAAUCCUUUUACUUCACUAGCAAACUAGAACAGGUACUGCCUAUUAGCAAAGGGAAAAAAACACACAAAACUUAAAAACAGUUGAAGGAGACUAUG
rnacentral:lncRNA from 1 species